ACCCCACUAUCGGCCUGCAAGAGAGCUCUAAGCACUACAGCAAUAAUGCUAAAACUUAAACAACAUGGCGGCGAGCUUAAAUUUCAGAGGAACCUACCAGGUAAAUGAUAACCCGCAAAAAAUUCUUACUAAAGCUAAAAGUUUAUAUAUCGCCGUCUAGUAGUCUUCUCCGAAGGUUACAAGAUGCACUCAGCAAAAAGACAGGCCAUGGCAUAGCAGAUGCUUUAGACUUGAGGUGGGUUACAAUAAGAACUUCUUUCUGAAGCCCCCCUCGGGAGGGGUGAAAGAUGGAUUUGAAAGUAAUAUUUAAGAUAAAUACAUAAUGAAUCCCCUAGGCUCGUGUACACACCG
rnacentral:rRNA from 1 species